GCAAACUUGGUCAUUUAGAGGAAGUAAAAGUCGUAACAAGGUUUCCGUAGGUGAACCUGCGGAAGGAUCAUUAAUGAAUUUGAAUUUUGUUGGGUUGAUGCUGGCUUUUAGGAGUAUUGUGCACGCCUGACUUGAUUUAUUUGUCCACCUGUGCACUUUUUGUAGACUUGGAUAUCACUCGGAUAUAUUCAUUCGGAUUUGAGGCUUGCUCAGCUUGCCUUUCAUUUCCAAGUCUAUGUUUUCUUAUUAUACACUUUAUGAAACAAAACUUGGGGUUUUAAUAAUGGAAAUAUAAUACAACUUUCAACAACGGAUCUCUUGGCUCUCGCAUCGAUGAAGAACGCAGC
rnacentral:misc_RNA from 1 species